UGAUGCAGCAAGAAGGCCCUUGCCAGAUGCCAGCAACUUGAUAUUGAACUUCUCAUCCUCCAGAAUGGUUUGUUUUUCCUCUCUGUCAUACCUCAAGAGGAACACAAAGAGUGAUGGCCUGUCACUCUGAUGCCUCUCUCUACUCAAAUGGCAGAAACCAACCAGGUUCUGUCAAUAGAAGAUACUAAAGAAAGAAAGCCAGGAGAAGAAAAGGGACUUCUUUCUUCAAGGUCUAAGCUGUUCUAAUAGCAUUAUUCUGGGAAUGGCAUCUUCCACUCCUCCUAGUACAAAGAACCUGCUUCCUCAUACCCCGUCAAGGAACUGCAGCAUCCAGGUGAUGGCCACAGUGGCAGAACCUAGGAAGCCAAGAAGAAACCAGAGAAUGGAGACACAUGGCAGCAAUGGCAAGUCAUCAGACCCAGGAUUUCCCAAAGAACACUGGUCCAGGAAGAUGCUCUGUGAAAAAGUGUUCCCUGGUCGGAGAAAUUUGUGAAACACUUUGCAUAAUACUUAAAAGAAUGUAUGGCACAUCAAAGGUAAUAUGCAAUAAAAGAAUUCAUUUUUUUAAAACCAAG
rnacentral:lncRNA from 1 species